GCGUGAGGACGACCUCCCCCGUCAGGGUUCAGCAGUCGGGACGGCCCGG
rnacentral:ncRNA from 1 species